CCAUUUACCAAAGUUUCAGAUGUUCGUAGUUUCGUGUUUGACCGUUGUGUUUCGUCUUGGAAUUAGUUGAACUUGGAGUGGCAACAGCGAACAAGAUUUCCUUCACGCGGGAGUGCAGAACCAUGAAGGUGCUGUUGCUUCUUGUCAUUGUGCUGUCAACCGCGUGUGUGGUCUGGGGGAAUGAGAAGGAGGAGGAGAAGGAGAACUUUCAGAUCAUCCCCUCUAUCUGCGGCAUUCUGGAUGUGUUCUACUUGUUCUUUCAGUGUUUCAGUGGCGGCGCCUUGGAGAACACCUUUGUCUGCAUACCUUUCCAGUACGUGGUCAUCUUCUUCUGUGGCGGACUCCCCCCUCCCCCACUGUCUGGGGCGCACUAGGAUCUCACCAGAAAAUGGGGAAUUACAACUUGCAUCUUUGAAGAGCGGAUCCUCCCAUCUACUCACGUACGGUGGAGACUCACACAUAUACAGACAAAUAUGCAACAAGAACAGGCACACCAAUUCAGAUGCGCAGAUGCAUUUUGAGCUUGAGUGACAUCUUCAGGCUUCCAGAACACUCCAAUUGAAAGGCCAUUUCUCAAAAAAGAUUUUUCGAUCUGAGGCGGACCUUUUAGGAAGCCGAAUUUCAAGUGACUUUGUGAUAGGCUUAGAGACAUAACACUAACAGAAGUGUAGGCCUACUGAGAACUUGUGAAUUUCGUCUCAUCUGUCUUUGAUCGGAUUCUAUCCUUGUGUUUGUAAAAAAACAACCCAACAAAACAAAACAAAACCGAAUAUGUUUUGGAAACCAAACCCAGAUACUCAUGACCAUCUGAUCGUAUAAUAUAUCAAAUAUUGCAACUAUUCAUGGAACCAAACCUAGAUAUUCAUGCCCAUAUUAUUAUAUGAUCGUAUCUCAAAUAUUGCAGCUUUUAAAAUUUUUACUUCUACUCUGACGUUUCAGUCAACUACUUUUUCCACAAAGCGUUUCCAGCUUAUUUGCAUUACUUCAUAAGUGAAGUCUUGACGUAAGAUGUCCACAUAGAAAAUAUUAAUCAUGUCUUAUCUGAAUUUUUGACAAUGUGGUUCAUAUCAUCUGUAUUGAUGAGGCAGUAGCUCUUAAAAUACAAACAACAACAAAAACAACAAAAACAACAACAACAACAACAACAACAACAACAACAACAGCAACAAACCCCAACAAAAACAACAACCGUUCGUUUUGGUAAUGAUUGUACAAAUGUUUCAUCUCAUGAACUCUUGUGUUCUGUUUUUAUUAUGGAUCCUAAGAGUGCUAGCCCCCUUUCGCUCUUGCAUUCGGAUUAUUCAUUUGUCUGGUCCAUAAAAUCAUUAAUGUCUUUGUCAUCGUUGUUUUGUUGUAAGUGAGAUAGCCUAACGUCUUUAUUAUUAAGUCUACUGUAGGUAGGAAACAAUGUAAGGAGAAGUCGGGUGUCAGAUGCUUGUACGUGUAUAUGUGUUUGACUUCUAUACGAUUAGUCAAGAUAAAUUCAAUUCUGCUUUUAAUGUAGGCCUGUGAACCAGGUAUAAUCUUUAAUUAUCGUAUCAAGUUUAUUCUCGUCUUUUUGUUUGUGUAUGUAUUUGUAACUCAUUUUCUCUGGAAGUAUUCAUUUUAUGAUUUCUUACCGUUGAACACCCUCUUAGUUAUACUAUUCAUACCCCCCUUACUUCCUUGGGGAAAAGUAAUAUCCAUGAUAAAAAACGACAGUAAAGUUGUCAAACUGUUAACUUGUCUGCGAACAAGCAAUAGAACAUUUUCCUCCUUAAAUUUGUAUCUUAAAAACUCUCCCUAUGUUCAAACCAAACGUCCUCCUCUUUUCGACUUUCAGUAGAAAAAAAUUUAUUUAAAAAUAGGCUAUGACAAGUCUAGAUGACCAAUUAGGAAGGUUGUGUUCAUUGCAAAACAAAAAAUAUUUCUUCUCUAUUACUGGGCAGCUAAGUAAAAAAAACCCAACCCAACCCAAGAGCAACAAACAAACAAACAAAACAUAAAAAAACCCAAACAGACGACAAAUCAUCCAGCAGGCUGCCUUUUUUAUUCUUUGUUAAGGCAGUCUAUUAGUUCUACCUCUUUGAUAUACCGAUACUUGUACGUGUAUUUGUACCACGAUAAACAGAUUGACUGCACAACAAAACCCCAGGUUACGUCGUGAAACCUGUUUAUAAUUAAUCUUAUAUUAUAUUCUUUUUGUUUCCUACACUUCUUUUUGUCCAUUACCGUUUAUUGCCCCUUCCUGUCCUCCUCCUAUUUCUACCUCCUGUCCGCACUCCUUUCUUUCUUCUAAACUUUUAUUGUACAUUCUUCUUCAUGCUUAUACCCUUCCCCUUCCCCCCUCCCCUUUUUCUUCUUUAACAGACUUUCAAUUGCAAUAAAAGUUUAUUCUGAAUCUUUUGAAA